UCCACCUGAACCUAGUAGUGCGCUAGGGUAGCGAACCUCAAGGUCGAUUCUGUACUCUCUCUGUCUAUCUCUCUCUCCUAAGGUUUAAAGUUGGAGACCUUGAAGACAUUAUUUCCCUAUGCUGACAACUUAAUAAUUGUGUUGUUACACAGUACAGUUAAAUUAUGUAUGGGUGCGUAGUAUAUGCACACCAACUUAAUAUUUAGAUUGCACGUGGGCAUCAAGCCAAUAUGUGCAAGUUCGAAGCUUUAAGUAGACUAUAUGAUACUUUAUCAACUCCACUGUGUAUGUCGAUGCUGCGCAUCUGGUGAAUUAUACGAAUUAAG